GUUUAAACGAAGAAGAAAAAAGCCAUUUUACCGUGGUCCACUCCUUCGGCACAUGCAGGACACUUACGCAGGAUGACGUGCCUCGGACAGUCUUCUGUGCAGUGAAAUCCUUUCGCUCUCCACCACCUCGUUAAAGCCGUACUUCUGCAAAGCAGACUUCUUCAUGUCCUUCUCCAGCCCCUCCAGCUUCAGCCGCACCGGUCUCCCCAUAUCUUCGGGCGUCGGUAGCACCGGGACUGUCGAUUCCUUCUUAGCGCUCAAUAUAACCACCCGGUAACCACCCUUCCUCUAUGGAAGAGCUGGGUUCCUCACCUGGGUUGAGGGCAUGUAGAGAAGCUGGCCUUCCUGCAGCAAGUUAAGCGACUGGAGACCGGUUUGGCCCGGUCCCAGGAGUUCACGAUCACCGGAGAGACGCUGGACGGGACGGCGGGUCAAGCUGGGCGGUGUCUGGGUUUGAUCCCGAAAGACCAGCAGUCAGACAGAGCAUCAUCUGUCGGCAGGCUCAAGGUCUGCUCCAACGCCUCAUAGGGAGAGAGAGGAGGCGGAAGGGUUCACAUAGAUAAAUCAGCGCUGAAUCGUAUUCCCUACAUCCUUUACAGAUGCUGUGCCUUUUGGCUACAAUUUAAUCAUGAAGCUUCAGGCUUGCAACAUAUAGUCCGGAAUUAAAUGUCCCAAAGGUGUUACGCACAGAUGUUGUUGGUCUAGAUUCUUUUCAUCCAUGCAUGGUAAUUCCACCACGAGACUACAAUUUUCCCAAAACUUCAGUUCUACGCACUUCGCCUCAGCUUGGACAAGUGCAUCCGAAGUGCCGCUGGUUUGCAGUUCUAUGCCCCUUGUUCGUGAUGCUCAUUGCUGUGGGAACGAGAGAGAAGACCCCAUGGUGGUGGCCGUGCGCUGACCGACCAGCAGGAGUGGGCAGUGGUGGAAAUGGUGAGGGCCAGGAAUGAGAUACGUCUGUCUGAAAGAAAGCAGGACAUUGAUGAGAAUGAUGACACCUUUGCCAAUGUGUCAUCCAUCAGCCUGCCAACACCUUUUGAAGAGGCACCAGGUAUCUAUGAAACACAUUUACCUAUUGCCUUUUGAGAGAAACGACCGGGUGAAACAAUUGCAGGCUGAGUAUGUUCAGUUACAGCACUAACCUCACCGGCCGACGGACGACCGUCCAAGCACCUGGACAACGGGGGGAAACAUCUCCAUGUGCACAGCUAUCUCUGAAUAGUAUGGUAUGGUAUGGUAGGAUGUAGGCCUACCAUCAUUGUGUGGUAGGAUGUAGGCCAU
rnacentral:lncRNA from 1 species